rnacentral:rRNA from 1 species
UACGUAGGGUGCGAGCGUUUGUCCGGAAUUACUGGGCGUAAAGAGCUCGUAGGUGGUUUGUCGCGUUGUCCGUGAAAACUCACAACUCAAUUGUGGGCGUGCGGGCGAUACGGGCAGACUGGAGUACUGCAGGGGAGACUGGAAUUCCUGGUGUAGCGGUGGAAUGCGCAGAUAUCAGGAGGAACACCGGUGGCGAAGGCGGGUCUCUGGGCCGAUACUGACGCUGGAGGAGCGAAAGCAUGGGGAGCGAACAGG